rnacentral:rRNA from 1 species
UACGUAGGGGGCAAGCGUUGUCCGGAUUUAUUGGGCGUAAAGAGCGUGUAGGCGGCCUGGUAGGUCAGCUGUGAAAACUCGAGGCUCAACCUCGAGACGCCGGUUGAAACCAUCAGGCUAGAGUCCGGAAGAGGAGAGUGGAAUUCCCGGUGUAGCGGUGAAAUGCGCAGAUAUCGGGAAGAACACCCGUGGCUAAGGCGGCUCUCUAGUACGGUACUGACGCUGAAACGCGAAAGCGUGGGGAGCGAACAGG